AAAACAGCAAAUGUUGAUGUUGUGCGAAUGGAAGAGUCACGUGAUUUUUCUUUGAUUGGCACGUUGAGCUCGACAAGGGAAGAGAGCAUGGUGUUUACAGCACAAUACAGUUUAGAAAAUAACGGCCAAUUUAGGUGGUAAAAAUGAUACUGUUAUUGUUGAGAGAAACUAGAUGAGUAAACUGCAGACAGUUAAUGCACAUGCAUAGCACAGGGGCUAAUAAGGGAGAUUCAGAGAACAUUUCAGACCAGCUUUAUACAGACAGGCUAAUUUACAAACAAAUAUAUAAUAUGGGUAAAGUCUAUAGCGGAUGGAGAGUUGGUCUGAGCUUGCAGUGAACUGGUUAGAUUGUAAUUAAUUAGUUCUUCACUUGUUGGUUUAUAACCGGGCACUUCAACCGGGCUUGUUAGUUUACGAGUCGGGCCAUUCUUUCCUGGAACAGUACUGUUUUCACGUAUGAAUAUUUUACCGUCUCUGGUCCAGCAGGCAGCAAUAAAACCCUGUUUGUAUGACCAGCGUGUAAUACUUGCUACGUAUGCUCUGUAUCUAGUCAGGUCUUCAUUUAUAUAUACGCCUUUUAUUGCUGUUUGAGCCAUUUUCCUGUUCUUCAUAAUAUGUACUUUUGUUUUGUAGCUUUUAAGUCUUACAAUUAUUUGGCGAUGCUUGUUGUCUUGUUUUCUACCUAGACGAUGACAGUUUUCGAUGUUGUUUUGACUUAGGGAGUUAUCAAUAGUGUUCUUUUCAGGACAGAAUCGGACAAACUUGAUGCUAAUAAUAUUUCACGUUGCAUGUCUAUUGGUGAGAUAGUGUUUGGUCUUUUCCUGCUUGGUGUCGGUGUUGCUGGGGACGCCAUUGAAAAUGUAAACAAAACCAGGGGAUAAUAAAUCAAUCGCAAAAAACUCACUGUUUUUGUUGUUUUUACUGAUUAUAAGUUGAUUAGUUUAUAGUAUAAUCCAAUCACGUAUCACUUUAAACUUUCGUGUAGAUUCUUUAAAAGAGUUUCUUCAUGAACAAGCAAUAAUCCACGCAGCGAAAUUUACCGUGUCUU